rfam:Candidatus Thrbacteria bacterium RIFCSPLOWO2_02_FTLL_48_12 rifcsplowo2_02_scaffold_12116, whole genome shotgun sequence.
GGGCCUGUGGUAUAACGGGAACACGCGACUAUGGCAUAGUCGAGUUGAGGGUUCAACUCCCUCCAGGUCCA